AGCCCACCAACCAGGGGCGCGCGGCACUGCGCCCGUGGAGACCAGUGUUCGGAGUAGAUGGGUGUAGCAGCCGAAGAAUGGUGUUUCUUUAUGGGUUUGGCGGGAGAACACCUAUCGCGGCUCGUCCUCGUUAGUAUAGUGGUGAGUAUCCCCGCCUGUCACGCGGGAGACCGGGGUUCGAUUCCCCGACGGGGAGGCUGCGUGAUUGUUUUAACUCACUCCAACACACACACAAGAUAUUUGGGGCAUCUUCUCCAAAAUGAUACGACUAUGAUAGACAGAUAUGCGUGGAAGCGUGUAAAUUUGGUUUUCGGAAUAUGUCCAUUUCCUCAAGAAGAGAGUGGAGGAUGCUGUAUACUCAGCCACGAGCACUAUAGGCUCCCUUCUGUGUAAGAAUAAAUAUACGUAGUGAGUAUAUUCGUAUUUAUGACCGGAUUACAGCAACAACUAGAGCGAACUAGCUCCCAUCAUGCACCAGGCAGUAUUCGUAAGCGCUUUACAGGUGUGCACCCACAAUAAGCCUCGGAGGGGCUAUUUUAUCACAUCAGACAGAUGAAAUGCAGGCACAGAGCGUGGAUCCAGUAACUUGUCCGAGGUCACAUGAAUCAGUCUGGUCUAGACCCUGGUUACUUCCGGGCAGAAGGACUGGGAUAAGGUGGGAGUGACUCUGCCUUUCCGUUCGGUAGUUUUCUGGACUGUUUGAAUUUUAUUUUAUUUUAUUUUCGCUCUCCUUCCCUUCCUUCCUUCAUUUCUUCCUUACUCGAUUUUUAUCACAUUGGUACACUUAGUUUUUCAAGAACUACUGCGCUUUUGUGAAAAGCAGCAGUAGGGUCCCCUGCUGUAUUGCUCCUGAAGGAAUUUAGGACAUCCCGUUUUGGUGUACUGUUUCUUUUGAGCUGUCAGUACCUCACUGGUCUCCUUGCUGCCACUUGAGCCCCUCCUGUCCAUUCUCCACACAGCAGUCAAGGGAGACUUUAAGAGGUAAAUCAUAUCACUCACUCCCCAGCAGCUUUCCAACACAAGAGAAAGUACAAACCCUUCACCGUGGCUUUCAAGGCCGGCACGAUCUGGUCUCUGCCCACCUCUUUGUCCUCGCCUCCUAUCUUCUGUCCCCUCACCCUCUUCACCGCUUCCAUGCUGACUUUCUUUCCAUUCAUAUAACUAGCCGGACUCUGUUUCAGCCUCAGGGCCUUUGCAUCAGCUGUUGCCUCUGUUCCAGAGGCUCUUCCCCCCGCGGGCUCUUCAUUCUCCAAGUCUUCUCAGCACUCUCUCCUUCUCUUACUGCCCCAUCCCAGGUGUUCCAUCCCAUCACUACCAUUUAUUUUGCUUCUUAGCAUUGCUAUUAAGACGAACUAUUUUGUUACUGUAUUUGUGACUGGGUUACAGGGUCAUUAGGUGCUUAGCAAACGCUUAUUAAAUGACUUCACAUCAUGAAGGACGUCCACGCUUGUUCAUCCUGUCCCAGACAACACUCCCCAGCCACCCAUCUCCCAAAGGGCAGGGAAGCAGAGAGAGCCAACCUGGAUGCCGACCUGUUGAUUUCCUCAUGCCUUGAAGCUGAGCAGUUGCCACAGGUGGGGUGGCCAUGCUUGGAGGCCGGAUCUCAGUCACUGCCCCAAGGAAAGCCCAUACGGCCUCCCACAUGCCCUGGCGUGGUCAGCAUCCCUACCGUGCCUUGGGCUGCUCGGUGAGCUGCACCCAAGGGGAGACCUUGUUCAGUUGCACAGAGAAGGGAGCCUGAGAAAGCGGAGCUCUGAGCCAGGAAAAGAUGAAAUAUUUAACCUUUUGGAACAUGUGACUAUUUAGGGAACGCUGAAUGUACCUUUAAGAGGAGAGCCGAAAGGCGAUUUACAGAGCUCGUCCUCGUUAGUAUAGUGACACCAUGGACUUGAUUAUAACGGGUAUUACUCCUCCGGUCACUACUUGGAAGUGGGAUUUUCACAAUAGGUGGGAUCUGCCCUUCUUGAAGUCCCUAACACUCCAAAUGUAAUUUUAUUAGAAGAGGCAAAGGGAAGCAGUUACAAGAAACAUGUAAAGGCAAAACCUGACACGAUGACUGAAACCACGGAAAAAGUGAGAAUGAUCAUUUAGGGAAGGUACCCAAGGCUUCCUGGCAUUGUGACUGCAGUCAAAGGCCUGGAGGCCUGGCGACUCAUUCCCGGCCAUCAGACGGCAAGCGUGGGCGUCAUUCAAAGGUCUGAGCGUCCGUGCGGGCCCUUGCCCUUCACUUGUGCUCUCAAUGACUCCCUCUGAAAAUGAAGCCAUUUUCGGAGAGAGCCACCCAGAAGGAAACCAGCAGACACGGCAGGCGGGACCGUGCUUCCCGCUUCCUCAGCGACAGGCCACGUAUGAACGCACGAAUGGCUGUGGCGCACAUACUGUUUAAACCUAUGUUUAUACACUGUACUUUAUCAUUAAAAAUAAAAGCUAUUUUA